rnacentral:lncRNA from 1 species
UUCUUGAAUGGUCUUUAACUAGUCCUUCUGAAUUUUACGAGAAAUAUGUCUUCGAUCUUUUUAAACUUGAUCUUCAAGUUUUAUGACGUUGAUGCAGAGUGUUGAAAUAUUAACUUGAUUUGUAAUGUAAAGAUAUUUUGUGAGGAAAAAUCUAGAAUAAAAAAUAAAUAAAUAAAACAAAAGAAAAGAUAAGAAAUAAGUAGAAUUAUGAAGAAAAUAGUAGAUAAUUCCAGAAUAUAUAAAAUUGUAACCAAAAGUCAAUGUCAGUAAAAUAUCACCGCAAAACUAGC